AGCACUGAUAUCGCGUUUGAUGUGCCGUGCGUCGCUUUUGUUCGUCAGAUGGUGGCUUUGUGAUUUUUAAAUUGCUGGAGGAAGUCGCUGCCACUGAAGCUGCCUCACAUCUUUCCUGUCCACUAUUCAGUUACGGAUUCACAGAACCAAAAAAUCGCUGCCUUACUGACGACGGUCCAGCAACCACUGGCUGCUCAAGCUGCGGCGGCCUGACAACCACAACCGGCCAACCAACCAGCCCAGCAAGUGCCGCCGACCAGCAUACCAACGUUCCGGCAAUUUGAGGAAACAGAGGAGGAAUGGAUUGAAUACCUGGCUCUGUUCCAGGCACAUUGUCAGGUUCAUUGUGUUCAAGCUCAUGGUCUAGUGGCCAGCGUUGUUGCCUGUGGAUCACGAGGUCCCGGGUUCGAUUCCCGGACGGGUUGGAGGAUUUCUCUGCCCGGGAACUGGAUGUUUGUGUUGACCUCAUCAUUUCGUCAUCAUCAUUCGUAAUAGUGGCUAGAGUGGACUGCGAAAAAAAUUGAACUGUGUAAAAAGUGGAACUUGAUGUGGGCGCGGUUGAGCGCCCCACAAACCAAACAUCACCAUCACCACGGCACCUUGUGAGGUAUUGAAACUGUGAUGGUAAAUGGAUUUCACACUUCCCUUUUGUGAGCUGUUGGGUGUC